AUUGAACGCUGGCGGCAGGCCUAACACAUGCAAGUCGAGCGAGCGGCGGACGGGUGAGUAAUGUAUGGGGACUGCCCGAUAGAGGGGGAUAACUACUGGAAACGGUGGCUAAUACCGCAUACUAUCGGAUAACCCAUAUGGGAUUAGCUAGGAGGUGGGGUAAAGGCUCACCUAGUCGACGCUCUCUAGCUGGUCUGAGAGGAUGAUCAGCCACACGGGGACGGAGACACGGCCAAGAAUCCAAGGGAGGCAGCAGUGGGGAAUAUUGCACAAUGGGAGCAAGCCUGAUGCAGCCAGGCCGGGUGUAUGAAGAAGGUCUUAGGGUUGUAAAGUACUUUAAGCGGGGAGGCGUUACCCGAAGAAGAAGAACCGGCUAACUCCGUGCCAGCAGCCGAGGUAAUUC
rnacentral:rRNA from 1 species